UACGUAGGUGACCAGCGUUGUCCGGAUUUACUGGGCGUAAAGAGCGCGCAGGCGGUCGUUCAAGUCGAGUGUGAAAGCCCCCGGCUCAACUGGGGAGGGUCAUUCGAUACUGAUCGACUCGAAGGCAGGAGAGGGAAGCGGAAUUCCCGGUGUAGUGGUGAAAUGCGUAGAUAUCAGGAGGAACACCGGUGGCGAAGGCGGCUACCUGGACAGAAACUGACGCUGAGGCGCGAAAGCUAGGGGAGCAAACAGG
rnacentral:rRNA from 1 species